rnacentral:rRNA from 1 species
AACGAACGCUGGCGGCAGGCCUAACACAUGCAAGUCGAGCGAAGCCUUCGGGCAUAGCGGCGGACGGGUGAGUAACGCGUGGGAACGUGCCCUUUGGUACGGAAUAGCCCCGGGAAACUGGGAGUAAUACCGUAUGUGCCCUUCGGGGGAAAGAGUUAUCGCCAAAGGAUCGGCCCGCGUUGGAUUAGGUAGUUGGUGGGGUAAUGGCCUACCAAGCCGACGAUCCAUAGCUGGUUUGAGAGGAUGAUCAGCCACACUGGGACUGAGACACGGCCCAGACUCCUACGGGAGGCAGCAGUGGGGAAUCUUAGACAAUGGGGGAAACCCUGAUCUAGCCAUGCCGCGUGAUCGAUGAAGGCCUUAGGGUUGUAAAGAUCUUUCAGUGGGGAAGAUAAUGACUGUACCCACAGAAGAAGCCCCGGCUAACUCCGUGCCAGCCGCCGCAGUAAAAC